GAGCACUCCAGUCACAUCAGCGACAAAACAGACAUCAGGCAACCAGCAGCUAUCCAUUAGAGUCACAUCUGCUGUCUGGGCUGCUGCCUUCAUUUCUGCUUCCCAUCGUUCAGUGGACGUGAACCAACAUGCUUGGGACAGUUUUUCCCCAGCAGUACUAAACAACUAAUAAGGGAAGACUUUGUUUACUGAAAAUAAACUUCAAAAGCAU